rnacentral:lncRNA from 1 species
AACAGAGUAACUCCUCUGUUCCGAGAGACUUCAGAAGCCUACAACAAAGGAGGUCUUCAUCUCACAUCCUCACGGGCCAACUGACACUGCAAGUUCAGCUCAGAAAGCUUUCGCCCUGUGACCCAGGCUUCUGCUCUGGCAGGCACAAUGUGGCCUUCAUGGCAUUCACUCUAUGCUAUGGAAGGAGGAGGAGGUUGUAUCUGCAAAUGUUGCCCUAUAAUCCUGUUGUAGUUUGAUGAUUUUUUGUUGUACUUCACAUCAGAACAUCAUGUGACCCAGUGGAAGUUAACGGGUUAAUGUUCUGGUUCUGUUUACUGUCUCUUAUGGGCACUUCGAGUAGGAGGGGAGGGGCAGCAUUCCCGGAGGACUUGACGCGAAGAGGAAGUGAGGUGGAGCUCCGGACAGGACUGCAGGCGUGUCUCUGUCCCUCCGGGCCGGUUCAGCUUCCUACGCAGAAGGGCGGGUGCUUCCCUCGCGCUUUGAGUGCUCUUCUCUGUCUCAUUUUGUUUGAUUUUGUUGGAUUUAGUAAAUUACCG